rnacentral:tRNA from 1 species
GGGGUUAUAGCUCAGUUGGUAGAGUACCUGCCUUGCAUGCACAAGGUCCUGGGUUCAAUCCUCAGCACCACCA